GAUGAAGAACGCAGCGAAAUGCGAUACUUGGUGUGAAUUGCAGAAUCCCGUGAACCAUCGAGUCUUUGAACGCAAGUUGCGCCCGAAGCCAUUAGGCCGAGGGCACGCCUGCCUGGGCGUCACACGUCGUUGCCCCCCCAUCUACUCCUUCGGGAUUGCGGGGGGCGGAUGAUGGCCUCCCGUGCGCCUCGCCGCGCGGUUGGCAUAAAUGCCAAGUCCUCGGCGACGCACGCCACGACAAUCGGUGGUUGCGAAACCUCGGUUGCCCGUCGUGUGCGGUCGUCGCGCAUCGAGGGCUCGAAAAAAUUGCCGGGUUCCGGCUCGGCUUUCAACGCGACCCCAGGUCAGGCGGGGUUACUCGCUGAAUUUAAGCAUAUCAAUAAGCGGAGGA
rnacentral:misc_RNA from 1 species